rnacentral:tRNA from 1 species
GCGGGGUUACCCUAGCCUGGCAGGGGGCAGGCCUGCUAAGCCUGUGGUCCUUGGGCCUCGCGGGUUCAAAUCCCGCACCCCGCGCCA